rnacentral:tRNA from 1 species
GGGGAUGUGGUGCAGCCUGGAGUGCACGUCUCCCUGUCACGGAGAAGGUCGUGGGUUCAAAUCCCAUCAUCCCCGCCA